rnacentral:rRNA from 1 species
AACGAACGCUGGCGGCAUGCCUAACACAUGCAAGUCGAACGAGACCUUCGGGUCUAGUGGCGCACGGGUGCGUAACGCGUGGGAACCUGCCCUUAGGUUCGGAAUAACUCCCCGAAAGGGGUGCUAAUACCGGAUAAUGUCUUCGGACCAAAGAUUUAUCGCCUUUGGAUGGGCCCGCGUUGGAUUAGCUAGUUGGUAGGGUAAAAGCCUACCAAGGCGACGAUCCAUAGCUGGUCUGAGAGGAUGAUCAGCCACACUGGGACUGAGACACGGCCCAGACUCCCACGGGAGGCAGCAGUUGGGAAUAUUGGACAAUGGGCGAAAGCCUGAUCCAGCAAUGCCGCGUGAGUGAUGAAGGCCUUAGGGUUGUAAAGCUCUUUUACCCGGGAUGAUAAUGACAGUACCGGGAGAAUAAGCGCCGGCUAACUCCGUG